UGUAAACAUCCUUGACUGGAAGCUGGAAGGUGCUGGAAGGAGCUUUCAGUCGGAUGUUUACA
rfam:Acanthisitta chloris contig26858, whole genome shotgun sequence.